ensembl:lncRNA novel transcript
GAGGCCUCUGAGCUCCCAGCGCUGGGGAGCGCUGUGCAGAAUAGGACUGGAGCUUCCAAUUGUGGACAAGAUAAGGACCAUUGCCCAGGCUGUCUAUGGAGCCAAAGAUAUCGAACUCUGUCCUGAGGCACAAGUCAAAAUAGAUCGUUACACUCAGCAGGGUUUUGGAAAUUUGCCCAUCUGCAUGGCAAAGACCGAUCUUUCUCUGUCUCACCAACCUGACAAAAAAGGUGUGCCAAGGGACUUCAUCUUACCUAUCAGUGAUGUCCGGGCCAGCAUAGGUGCUGGGUUCAUUUACCCUUUGGUCGGAACGGGAAGCAGAGAAUCUCCCCUCUGGCUCUAGUUGGAGAAUCCCAACCCAAGCAAGUCCAUCUUUGAACAAUAAACAUCUCCAGUACUGCUGGCUUUGGAAGACCCCAUGGUGCACCACUGACAUCAUGGCUCGGCUGGACUCUGGAAAGCAGGAAAUUGCUGGAGCAUGUUUGGGCAUCAAUGAUGUCAUCCGCUACGAAUGCCGGGUGGGGUUACUGGACUGAGGGCCAUGAAAAAAGAAAGCUGCGGCCCUGCCCCGUGGACUCACUGCCAUUCUGUUCUUUCUCACGUUUCAGUUCAGCUCACUUUGUUUUCCGUCCCCCUCCCUCUACUGUAAAAGUAUGUACUCAGUGUUUCAUUUCCUGCUGGAUCUGAUUCAGGUCAGUGAUGAAGUUCUUUGCGAGCUCAGUGGGGAGGCGUUUCCUCCCUUUCAUACCGGCCCUGCUUAGGGAUGCAUGGUUGGUUAUAUACUUGCUUCACUCGGUUAGGCAUGGAGGAGAAUUCAUUCAGACCUCAUAGGUUUAAAUCAAAUGCAUGACCCUUCACAUUUUCCAGAGAUUUAGACAGUUACAGUGAGACAAUUAAACAUUCACCCCCCAAGCUGCACUUGGAGAUGUGUAAGCAGUAAUGUAGUCAUGCGCUCCCCAUGAUAUGAGAGUGUGCAGAAUGCCACUCCCCACAGCAGGUCCACCAGGACCUCCUCAGGGAGCAUCUUGCCUACAAAAUCACCCAUCCCUUUUCCCCCACUUUCUUCACUUUCCCUACGUUUCCACUCCCACACCCACAAAUAAACAAAGAAACUUUGAGCUUAUUUUACAAAAGUCUUUGAAAUGGCCCUCCUCUCUCCGAUGCUCCUGGGCCCUGGUUUGGCCCCAUCUGUGCAGUCUCUCUGAUGAGUGUGAAAUAAGCCAGGUUUGGCUCAUGCUCUCCCUGUGAGCUUGCUCUCCCCGUGAGCCUGCCCUCUCCAUCUGGCCUCACUUUGUUUGUGUCCCUGGGUCCUUUGUCUCUGAUCCUGGGAUCCUGGUGGUUUCCUCCUCCCCGCCCAGCUUGGGUCCUUUUCCCCAGGGUUCUUCCCUAUCUCUACAUCAGAAUUUCCUGCUUUCUCCCAAAUAUGCAUUUCCCUGGCCCAGGCAUCCAUUGCUUCCUCUCAUCGUGAGGUCCCUGCAGCAGACUGCCAAUGGUGUUGUGGCCAUGCCUUCCUCCACAACCCAGGGAAAGCUACAUGUGUGUCUGUCCCAUAGGGAAGGAGUCAUCCCUGUCUCUUCAGUGUGGCAUGUUCAGGAGGAAGGAAAGUAACCAGCGUCAUUCUCAAUUUACGGAAACUGUUUAUCAUAUUGACAAGAAGAAGAAAGCUUUGCGACUCAUGAGAAUGAUGUUUUCUUCUCUGGUACAUAAGGUUAUGUAGGUCCAAUCCAUUGUGUAGAAGAUCUUUUCUCCCUUAAUGGGAUGUACACUUAUUUUUAGCACAAGUAUAAAACUACUUUAAAUGAAGUCAGCCUCAGCCAGGGAAAUAUGCUGAGUAAUAAUGUUGCCAGGUACUAUACCACUGAGUUGAGUUUGCAAUUCACUGCUAUUAAUCCCUGCAUGUUAGUUCUGAAUUUUUACUCUUUGCAUACGUAGAAAAAAUGGUGUUUCUCUUCAGAGUCAAGGAGGGAAAAAAGAAAAGUUAAAAGACACUUAUAACACUUUUGUGUCCACCCCUAAAAUCAGCAUAUUGAUCUACUAUUUUUCUAGGUAUUGAUGGAAUAUUGACUCAUAUACUUUCAUACAACUG